rnacentral:rRNA from 1 species
AUUGAACGCUGGCGGCAGGCCUAACACAUGCAAGUCGAGCGGAUGAAGGGGGCUUGCUCCUGGAUUCAGCGGCGGACGGGUGAGUAAUGCCUAGGAAUCUGCCUGGUAGUGGGGGAUAACGUCCGGAAACGGGCGCUAAUACCGCAUACGUCCUGAGGGAGAAAGUGGGGGAUCUUCGGACCUCACGCUAUCAGAUGAGCCUAGGUCGGAUUAGCUAGUUGGCGGGGUAAAGGCCUACCAAGGCGACGAUCCGUAACUGGUCUGAGAGGAUGAUCAGUCACACUGGAACUGAGACACGGUCCAGACUCCUACGGGAGGCAGCAGUGGGGAAUAUUGGACAAUGGGCGAAAGCCUGAUCCAGCCAUGCCGCGUGUGUGAAGAAGGUCUUCGGAUUGUAAAGCACUUUAAGUUGGGAGGAAGGGCAGUAAGUUAAUACCUUGCUGUUUUGACGUUACCAACAGAAUAAGCACCGGCUAACUUCGUG